GGAUCUGGUCAGUGUCUGGGUAGCAUGACCCAUGCAGAACCACAUACACACUGCCUUAGGUUCCAUGAUGGAUGAAACAUAGGCUACAAAUUUUCGGUAAGUAUGUAAGGCUGCAAUCCAAACCCCACUUACCUGGGAGUAAGCACCACUGAAUUCAAUGGGAGUUGCUUCUGUGUAAACGUCGUUAGCGUUGCAGCUUAAGCCCAUAAAUAUAGUGUAAAAAAUAAAAGUUGGUUGCAAUGCCUGGAAAGUUUAAAAGCUGCAACAUUAAAUAUAGCACUCCAAAUGCCUGGAUGCUUCUGAAUGAAUUGCUGUCAUGGACUUGUCCAUGGUUCUGAUUAUAAUUGCAAAAAUAAUAGCUGAAGGGUAACAUAGCUUUUGAAAGCGUAAUGGAAAAGAGCGAAAAAGAGAAAUUGGCUCAGCAAUAGCUUACUUAAUUUUUCAAGAAAACAAGCAAGUAUUGUGAGAUUCUUAAAUUGAAGGAAUAUAUAUUGUUAGCCUCCACAGGUGUCUUGAGAUGCAGCACAUAAUUCAGAAGAAUUUUUUCUCCUUUAGAAAUAAGGGGGAGAAAAUCACCACUUUGCUGCUGCUUUCUUAUUUACUAGUAGGCUUUUGCUUAAAUUGAGAAUGCUGGGUUUGAUUUAUCUUUAAAACGUUAAGUGAAUUGUGAGAUUCUUUUUAUCAAUAACAAAUAGCAGUGUGUAAUAACCUGCUGGCAUCCAUCUGUCUUGGAAAACAAUGGAGGAGUGCGCCUUUGGGGGUGAGGUCAAGCUGUUGGAAGUGACCUGUCCUGUACAAAAGCCCGGGCAGUGUGUAUUGGAGGUCCUGGGCUGCUCAGACGACAAGACUUCCCCUCUCUCCCUUUCUGAUGUGGGCCAAAGGAAAGGAAAACAAUACAUUUGGCACCAGUUCGGCUGCAGGAGUUGCCAGAAGGAGGCAUACAAGAUGCCAUCCAACCAUCUUAGGGACGUCGCUCUGGAUUUGUGUUGGGUUUAUUUCUUAGCCUUUUCUUCCCAAAGAUGUCCCACAAGGCAGCAGAGUACAUAUUUUUCCUCAGGGUUUACUCCUGAAGCCUUUCUCAUGAAUGAGUGUAACUGCAAGGCUGUAGAGGUUUAGGAUCAGAGUUUUACUUCUCAUAGAUGGGCUACCUUCCCAGGUUUACAAGCUCCAUCUGCCCCUCACUUCCCUCUACGGCACAUGCAGAAACAGCUUUAUUGACCUGUGGACCCACUAUUGGUCUCGUCCGCUAAAUCCACCAAAGUGUGUCUUUGCAUGCAGGGGAAGUCCCUAACUCACUGAGGGUUGAGACCCAUCGGCUAACCUCACCUGGUUUAGCAGAAGCCGUUCCUGGGGUAUGGCCUCUGUCGCAUGCUGGCAGCUUCUAGGAGCCACAGAUGAGAGCUGAAUGCAGGGAGGGGGGGACAAAUGGUGGGGGAACUGCCCCAGAAACAGCAUGUCAUGUCCCCCACCAGAGAUACUGCUUCUCUGCUAACACCCCAUACACCUCAGUGUUUAAUAGGAAAAUUGGUUAAGGAGGCAUUUGGACCCUUGGAUGUCAAAGGAAUCAAAGGUCUGUUAAAGGAAGAGAAACAGAAGCUGAAUGAAUUCUAUGCAUCUGUCUUCACAGCAGAAGACAUAGGGCAGGUCCCUAUGUCUGAAUUAACUUUUGCUGGAAGGGUGUUUGAAGAACUGGUGGUGAUGAGAGACAAAGUUCUGGGCCUAAUAGGCAAAAUAGAAAAGGGAAAUUUGUUGGAUCUGAAGGGCAUCCACUUGAGAGAUCUCAAAGAAUUCAAAUGUGAAAUUGCUGGUUGAACUUGUCCCUAAGAACUACCUCCAUACCUGUGGACUGGAAACUGUUUUACAUGCUCUUGUAUAUAGCCAACUAUAUGCCUGUGUGUGUGUGUGUGUGUGUGUGUGUGAGAGAGAGAAAGAGAGAGAGAGAGAGAGAGAGGUUGUGCCUACAUACUACUACUGCUGCUGCUGUCUGCUUUAGUAACACAGUCACACUAAGGCACCAUUGUGAUUUCAUGCUGAUGCUGCAUGCCGGAAGAAGGGAGAGUGGCCAUUGGCCUCUUCCAGCAGCCUCUUCUUAUGAUUUUGGAAGCAAGUAAGAUUUUAUAAAAGUACUAAAAUACAAUAUAUUUAACACCCCCACAUAUUAAAAAUCUCUUCUGCCUUGGUUACUGCAUUUACAUAAAACAAUGAGAAUUUCACUGCAGUAUAACAUAUUUGGAGUAUAUUGGGGGAGGAAGCUAAAUAUUGAUUGUUCAUUAAAUACAUGUGGAUAAUUAAUGCACAUAGGCACAUUAAAAUGGCAGAAUAAGCAACACAGCUUUUUGAAUCAAAUACGAGGCUUUGGUCACCCAUAUAAAGAUGUUAAAGGUAUUGGAAUUAAUGAAGUAGUGGGAGAGAAAGUGGGAAUAGAUUGGGCUGUAAGCAGAACUCAGUGGAUGUUAAUUAAAAUGUCUAGAGUUUCAUUGUGUGGAAGGAAAUGAAUUCAUAGUUAAAAUAGGCAAGACACUGAGAUCUAUGAUUGCAUCUCACACUUGUUUUGUUCAGUGCUGCUAUGUAGGAUGGAGGGACAAUCAGCUCAAGAAAGUGGUGCUGUGGUGAAGGUGUUUAAUCUUGUUUUAUGUUCCUAAUGUGUAUCUUUGUCCACAUAUGUUGAGAAAUAUGCAUGUACUGGAAGAACAUGUUUUGUCUUUAGCUAGGAGUCAUGGUGUGCCACGGAGCAAAUUCUGCAAGGAAGGGGGAAUAAGCCACAAGAUGGCAGACCAAAGUUUAGAAUAGAAGAAUAUGGAGUUUAUUACAAAACAGAAAUAUACAUUGC